rnacentral:rRNA from 1 species
AACGAACGCUGGCGGCAUGCCUAACACAUGCAAGUCGAACGAGACCUUCGUGCCUAGUGGCGCACGGGUGCGUAACGCCUGGGAACCUGCCCUUAGGUUCCGAAUAAUUCCCCGAAAGGGGUGCUAAUACCGGUUAAUGUCAUCGGACCUAAGAUCUAUCGCGUUUGGAUGGGCCCGCGUUGGAUUCGCGAGUUGGUAGGGUAAAAGCAUAGCAAGGAGACGAUGCAUAGCUGGUCGGAGAGGAGGAUCAGCCAGGAUGGAAAUGAGACACGGACCAGACUGGUACGGGAGGGAGGAGUGGAGAAUAUUGGACAAGGGGGGAAAGCCUGAUAAAGCAAUGCCGCGUGAGUGAUGAAGGGCGUAGGGUUGUAAAGCUCUUUUACACGGGAUGAUAAUGACAGUACCGGGAGAAUAAGCUCCGGCUAACUCCGUG